rnacentral:tRNA from 1 species
GCGCCCGUAGCCUAACGGAUAGGGCACCAGUCUUCGGAACUGGUUAUUGGCGGUUCGAAUCCACCCGGGCGCG